UACGUAGGGCGCAAGCGUUGUCCGGAAUUAUUGGGCGUAAAGCGCUCGUAGGCGGUCUGUUACGUCCGCUGUGAAAACCCAGGGCUUAACCCUGGGCUUGCAGUGGAUACGGGCAGACUAGAGGCAGGUAGGGGAGAGUGGAAUUCCCGGUGUAGCGGUGAAAUGCGCAGAUAUCGGGAGGAACACCGGUGGCGAAGGCGGUUCUCUGGGCCUGUCCUGACGCUGAGGAGCGAAAGCGUGGGGAGCGAACAGG
rnacentral:rRNA from 1 species